CCAGUGGGCAGCCACCAAGCACCCAGAAGUGUGCCUAGGUGUGGAGAUAGGAAAUCCCUUCAGACCCAGCUUCUCAGGAUGUUUAUGGAGGGCAGCCUAAACUCCUAAUUCAAGAAAGAGGGUGUUCCACAUGCCUGGAUGUGGAGCAAAGAGGACUCCCCUGCACCAAGAUCACUGCACAUGAAGAGUAGAGCAGCUCAGGCUGCUAUUCCAGGUGAAUAGCAAGAAGCGGCAUGAUUUCCCAUUUCAUCAGCCAUAAAGGGCAGAGCUGGGGUUGAACCUGGUUAGUUGAACUUCAAGGCCUGAGCUCAUCCACUUGCCAGGGAUGUCUGAAGUUGGAUGCUAUUUCUACAACAGAGACACAGUUUUCUAGAGACCAGACCAGAAGGUGACGAAGGAUUUUCCCAGGGGAGGUGAAUUUGGCCUGGAUUUGAAGAUUAGGAGGAAACCAGGUCCAGUGAGAGGAAGGGAGAAGAAUGUUUCAAGUACUGAAAAAGGAAGAGGAGGAGGAAAAGGAGGAGAAGAAGGGAAGAAGGAAGAGGAGAAGGACAAAGAGCCAAGGACAUGUGUAAACGCCCUCAGGUAGCCUUAGGCAUUGGGGAAUAUAAAAAAAGUCAACAAGUCUAGAGCACAGAGAAUAAAGGAGAGCAGAGAGCUCGGGCCCCAAGUGUGUUCUCACUUCCUUUAGUUUUCUGCAUAGGAGUCUUUUCUUUAGAGAGGCUUCCUCCACCUCCUUUCUAAAUUUACUCUGCUGGUUACUCCUCAACUCCUUAUGCUGCUUAACAUUUAUUCAUCAUAUUUAUCACCCCCAAAAAGAAACUUCUUUUUUGUAUAUGUUUGAAUUGUUGAUCUUUCC
rnacentral:lncRNA from 10 species